AUGGCCAUGGCGGCGGAACCGGACGAGAAGGAUUUUAUCAGCCUCCUCCCCGACGAGAUCUUAGGCACCAUCAUCUCCCUCCUGCCCACGGACGACGGCGCGCGCACCACCGCCCUCUCCCGUCGCUGGCGCCACCUCUGGCGCUCCUCCCCGCUCAACCUCGACGACUACGACAUCAGCGGCAAUAGGCGUGGCCUCAACGUCAACCGCCUCGGCCUCGGCAAGAAUAGGCCCCAGCUUAUCUCCGUCAUCUCCAAGAUCCUGUCCAGGCACCAGGGUUCCGUCCGCCGCCUCUCCCUCCGCCACGACUACUACUACAUCAGCGACAUUCACGACACGCUCCGCGGCUGGCUCACGUCCCCCGCCCUCAGCAACCUCGAGGAGAUCCAGAUCAUCAGCUACAGCUACAGCUACAGAGGCCAGGAUCCGCUGCCGCUGCCGCUGACAAUGAGCAGCUUCGCGCCGACCGUCCGGGCCGCCACCUUCGUCCUCUGCCGCUUCCCCGAGCAGGCGCCCCAUGCGCUCAUCUUUCGGCAACUUAAAAGACUCGCCCUCCAUGACGUGACCGUCCCCGAUGACGACCUCCAAGGCGUGCUCUCUAACUGCCCUGUGCUCGAGAGCCUUCUGAUUGACAUUGACGUUCGCCGUACACCUGACAUUGUCCGGGUGCUGAUCAACUCACCGUCUCUCAGGAUCAUCGAGAAUGGCUACAGAGUUCAAGUAGUCAUCGAGAAUGCCCCUCGGCUGGAAAGAAUCGUCACAUCUCGGGACUUUCGUAGUUCCUAUUACACUUAUUACACCCCGAUGUUCUUCUGGGUACCCCACGCACGGAAAUUGGAGAUCUUGGACUCAUUCAGAAAAUCCAGAAAAGUGGUUCUGGAAAGCUUCAGAACAACUAUGCGCGACGUGAGGGUUUUGAUUCUCAAGGCUUGUGAACCUGAUCUCGAUGAUGUUAUCGACUUGCUGAGAUGCUUCCCAUACCUCACGAAACUUUACAUAACGACUUCUCUGCGGAAGUGUGAGAAAAAUGAUGGACACGGUUAUAACCCGCAAGAUCCUAUCACAUGCCUUGAGCUCCAUCUCACAGAGGUGGUGCUGAAGCGCUACCAGGGCAAGCAGUCGGAUGUGGAUUUUGCCAAGUUCUUUGUGGUGAAUGCUAAAGUGCUCGAGUCAAUGAAGUUUGGAGUCCACGACAGUUGCACCGAUAAAUGGAUAGCUAAUCAGCGCAGGCGCCUACAUCUGGAUAGAAGGGCCUCUCGAGACGCUCAAAUUGAUUUUAGAUCCGAUCUUACUUGUGAUGAUUUUGCUUGCUACGAUGUUCUCUCCGUGCCUGAUCCCUUCGGCAUCAGAAGGUCUUGUGCAUAUUGUUCACAAGGCUGA
rnacentral:rRNA from 1 species